CUGGGAUGCCAAGUUAAGCAACUGUGUUUUUAUCAAAGAAGAAGAAGAAGAAGAAGAAGAAGAAGAAGAAGAAGAAGAAGAAGAAGAAGAAGAAGAAGAAGAAGAAGAAGAGUAUAACAUAAAUGUAUUUUAUAGAAACUCUUACAUGGUUUUGAGUCUACUACUGGAAUUCUCACUGUGUCUCAUGGAUUUGUGUCUGUGUGAUUACACUUGACCUUAUCAUUGGUCCUACAUAUCCUUGUACUUUUUGAUAGGCUGGAGAAUGUUCAUUAAGUAUGAGAAGAAAGAAACACAGAUGAUGAUAUCCAGGGCCAAAUGAAUACCCCCGAAUGUUGUGAUUUCCCUAGGUCCAAUUACUAGGCUAAGAGGCUUCGGGGUUCAAAUGUGAUCGCUAAUGCCAAUCCUGGCAUUUGUACGUAGGGUGCUUGGGGAUGUGGGAAAUUUAGACCUCCUCUAACUGUCGGCACUUCAAUUGCUGCAGUUCCUUCUCAAGAGUGGCAGUGCAAGCAGAAACCUAAAAUCAGGGAUGAAUGGAUUUGGCGAUUCCUACAAAUCUACUGCAGGAAAUCACCCAAAUGGAAAACCCAGAGCCCAGCUCUCAGCCAUCCCGUUUGGUCUGUGAACAUUGACUCAUAUCUAUUUGAGUGAGAAUGAUGGGAAUCCAGGAAAUCUGGAAUUCCUGCUCUAGAAAUGGAGGCUUCCUGCGAAGACCAUUGUCGGAUUCACCCAAAGACGAUAAUUUGAGACCAGCAGAGACUGUAAAACCUGGAGGCAUAGUCAGUGGAAAUUGUGUCGCAAGCCAGCAACUUUCCACUCACCUGAUUGGUGUGAUGCUGUGGGCUGCAAGAGGUCACGGCAGAUGACUACAAGGAAAGAGAGAAGACAAAGGCGUGAGCUCCCUGCCCCUUGGCAGCAUAGUCUAGUGGAGCAGUAGAAAAUCAGAAAAGGUGCUGGUCGAUAGGGCCCUCGGAGCUCUCACACAGAUGUGCCCCAGGAGUGUAUAGGAAUCUGCCUCAGGGAAAAAGGGGCUUUGGGACCUAAGGACUUCCCUAAACAUCACUUGUCUCAAGGAGAAGUAGACCCUUAUCUCCCACAUCCCGUUGGCUGGGCCUCAUCGUAAUCCUACUGAGCAUGAAUUUUAUGUCAUCACCUCUUUUUGUGACAUUGGGUUGUCAACACAGACCCUGCCUUGGACAGACAGAGCUACGCAUGCCUUUUGAUCCUCUACAAGAACAGCUUACCAGAGCCGACAAGACUUCCUUGGAGAUGGGUUGUGUGGGUCUUUCAGGUGGAUCUACUCAUGAUUGGCUGGAGAAUGAUCACCAAGUAAGAGUUGAAUGAAAACCAGAGAGGAUACUCAGGGCCAAAGGACAACCCAAUGAAUCUUGCUGAUUUUCCUCAGUCCAAUCACCAGGGUAAGUGACAGACAUCUGAGUGAGAGUGUGAUGACUAAUCCAACCCGGGCAAUGGUUCCCAGGAAGCAUGGCUAUUGUGCAGUAUGAUAGCCUUUGGGAACUGUCAGGCUGUCAAUUGCUGAAGCUCCUGCUCAAGGGUGGCAUUGCAAGCAGAAACUCGAGACCAGGCAAGAAUAGAUUUGGUGGUUCCUACAAAUCUCCUGCCAGAAGUCACCCAAAAGGAAAAUGCAGAGUGCAGCUCUCAGGUAUCCCAUUUUGUCUGUGAACAUUCACUCCUGUCUAUUUCUGUUAAAAUUCAUGGAUUCCAGGAACUUUGGAAUCACUGCUCUGGAAAUGAGGUUUGUUUGGCAGACUCUUUUCAGAUUUAACCAAAGUAAAUAAGCUGACACCAGCUGAGGAUUGUAGAAGGUGUAGGCAUAUGGCCAUAGGACAGGAUGUCUAGAGGCAGAAUCUUUCCACUCACCUGUAUGGUGUGAGGCUGUGUGCAUGGCUAUUGUGGAGUAUGAUACCUUCGGGAACUCCAAGUUUUAGCCUGCAACAUAAUAAGGAUGAAUGUUAUCAGAAAAGGAAAUGCGUCUAGGGAAACUUGACUUUCUACUGUGUCCUGACCUUCAAGAUUGCCAGCUGUUCAGUCCUUCCCAGAACCAACUAUUGAAUUCAUUUCCUUCCCUCCAAUCCCCUCAGAGUUUAUCCACUGUGGUAAGGAUUUCUAUUCUUCUGAUGGUGUCCUCUAAAGCUGUCUUUGAGAGCAUCUUUACCACUGCCAGCAGACACUGUGUGGACGCCUCUCAGUUGGAAGAGAGGAUGUUGCACAAAGCAAAGAAGAUGCACUGCAUAUAGCAUUGCAGUAUGGUCAUUUUAACUCCUCGUUUCUCAAAGUCAAAACGAACAAGUUGCACAGAGGUGAAAGUCAGUAAGCCCUAUUGUAUCUUUGAGAUUUCAGGGUGUGAUUGAAAUUUGUGCUCUGUGCAUGGAAAUCUCUCCUUGUUUAACAAACAGAGUCUUCCAUAAUAGACUUUAGAUUUCUUCCCUUCCAUGCAACCUCAUUUUGGAAGAGAAGGGAAUCCAAAUGUGCCUUUGUGUCUACAUGUACGUUACCAUGUCUCGAUUCAUGGAACUCAAGUCUUCCACUUGGAAGAGCAUUGGAAUCAUCUACCAUGUUUCAGUUUAAAUCUGAUGAAAAGAAGAUGUUUUCUAUGCACUAACCGAAUAACCUGUGGUCAAACACUCAUGGGUUGCUCUGUAUUGAGUAUGUUGUACUACACAACUGAUCUUACAUGAUGUCCUUGAUUGGAUAUUCAAUGCUUUACCCAUGGCUUUAGAAAUUGUGUAUCCACAUAUAUAUAUGUGUCAGUCCUGAAUUAAUUGUGUUCAUCAUGAGGACAUUAAGAAGAUUCAGUGUGUGGUUCUUUCUUGUUUCAUUUGAGAGUUAGCGUGUCUGCUCCAUUAUCAGGACUGUGGGUCUACCAGCUAGCAACAUGUUCUUUUGAAAUAUCUUUCCUUUAUUUUUUAAAGGAAUAGUUGUUUUCAUAGAUCUUGGGUAACACGCAAAUUUUGUUAGAAGAGAUGGUUUUCAUCUGUGGGAGAGCGGCAAUAAGAGGAUGAAUGUACCCUGGAGGAAAACAGAAACAAUAACAACAAAUAACAGAAAGCAAAGCCCAAUUGUCAUUUCUCAUGAUGGAUCAACUGAGAUGGUUUCUGCGCGCGAGAGAGAUAGGUAAACACAACAUGCUCUGGAAGAUUUUGGCAGCUAAGACAUAAAUGAUGAACACCAAUAAAACUAGGGAAUGUCUCAAACAGGUGCCCUGGCUUCUCACCUAGCCAUUAUUAUCUAGAAUUUACCCAGCCUCCAACAGGAAAGACCAUUUCAAUUUUCCCUAUAUAUAAAUUGAAUGAUCCUGGAUUUAUAUGUUGUAUGUCAGCCUUUACAACUUUGGGUAAAAGUCGAGGGCAUUCAUUGUCCUCCAAUAUUCUUUGGACUACUGGGAUGAGCCAUAACAUCCCCUCCUGACACUUUUCCACAUAUGUGCAAGGGUACAUCGACCGAGACUAGGAAUGAGCAGCACGUUCGAAUUCAUCAUUUCUUAGAUAUUUUUUGAGUACGUCCAUUAGAUUUCUCUACCUGAUAUAUGUGCCUACUCCUAUUGUAAAGCCUGUCUCCCUAUCACUUGGAAUCAUUUCAAUCUCUUUUAAAAUAGAAAGCAAUGAAAAA